ensembl:lncRNA
CAAUAAUGGUAGGAGGAGGCUGGGGACCUACCACCAGCACUUAUUAGGGGGACUCCAGACAGCGGCCAAAAAGCCCACUAAUUUGAGUAAGGACCCACCAUUAUCGGGUCUUAUGGAUUGAAAGCCGCAAGUAAUAUUGCAACACAGGCUGCACCUGCUGGGGAGCCCAGUCCUGCUCCAGGAAGCCUUCCGGUGACUCAGUACAUGGGUUGCAGUUCUGCCUGAACUACCCAGAGAUGUCUACCAGACCUAUGAUGUCUUGACCAUCCUGAAGCUCUCUGUGUGUCAGACUCCUCUGGAAGAGAGUCUGUCCUUGCUGCUCAUUAAGAAAACGCCACCACUUAGGGCUGCUACCUGAGUUCCCUUACUUCAGGAUCCGAUCAUCUCCAGCAGCAUCAUGGCAUAGCUGAGUUCUGUGACCCUGGCCUACAUCAGUGCUUCAACAACAUACAGCAACAGCCAUGCAACUCCGUAGCCCUAACAGUUACUACUUCCACCAGACAUUUUGAGAACACAGGUUAUCAUACCGCUCCCUUCCCUUGGUGCUCUACCCCCUUUCACUGCCAGAGAGCGUUUCCACACCUGCUCGGCUGCUCCCAGGGAGGGGACCCCAUCGCUGCCAGCCACAGCAAGGGACCAACUGCGCUGGAUGGGAUUCCCCCAGGAGACAGAUUCUGAGGCAGAGAUUUACCCACAGAAGGAUC